rnacentral:misc_RNA from 1 species
UCAAACUUGGUCAUUUAGAGGAAGUAAAAGUCGUAACAAGGUCUCCGUUGGUGAACCAGCGGAGGGAUCAUUACCGAGUUUACAACUCCCAAACCCCAAUGUGAACGCUACCAAACUGUUGCCUCGGCGGGAUAUCAGCCCCGGGCGCGUCGCAGCCCCGGACCAAGGCGCCCGCCGGAGGAGGAAAAACCAAACUCUCUCGCAUGGCCCCCUCGCGGGUCUUCUCACUUCUGAGCCUUUCUCGGCGCCCCCUCGCGGGCGCCUCGAAAAUCAAUCAAAACUUUCAACAACGGAUCUCUUGGCUCUGGCAUCGAUGAAGAACGCAGC